UUUGGUUUUGACUUCUUUUGCCACUCCAUGGAUGAAAAAAAUGACUUCUUCGAUAGUCUGGUUAUAGACCCGAGCUUUUCAGAAAGCGAUGUCAAAGACUCGGAUACUUUAGAAGAAUGCAGGAAUGGUGGCUUAUUGUGUGGCAACAAAAAGAAAACAUCCUUUUGGACAUGAACGGCAUAGACUGGACAACAUUUUGAAUGGAAACCCAGUUGGAUUGAAGGAAAUCAAGGAUGCCACGUUCAAAGACCUUUUAUCGUGAAUGCUACAAGUAUACAUGAUAUUUUCACUGUAGAUAACAAUGUUUAGGUACAAAUGUUCCAAGCUCAAUUGUACAAUCCGUAUUAU